AAAAAAAGAUGGAGAUACAAGAAGCUCAAGAAGUGGUACAUGAAGUGGUGAGUGAGCUAGAUAAUAUACCUAAUUUUAAUGGUGCACUUAGACAUAGAGCAAUUGAUUGGUUGACAGAAAAUCCCAUUAAGUUUGCGAUUAUAAAAGCUCUUCCAUUGGAUGAGAAAGAGGAUUACAUCUUAUCUUUUAUGCCUUGAUGUCAAAUUACAGAAAAUAUGUGAAGGAGUUCCUGUGUUGAAGCAAAUGCAAUUAGAAAAUUCAGAAUUAUUUUGGAAGUUGGACUUAUUUUGUGACUAGAUUUUAUUUCCGUCUAAGUUUUUUUUGGUGUAAUUGCAUUACUGACCAAUGACUUUGGCAAAAAAACAAGUUUCAUCUAUAGACUUCUAAAUAACAUUCUAAGGUGAAAUGAUACUAAAUAUUGUUUA